rnacentral:rRNA from 1 species
GAUGAACGCUGGCGGCGUGCCUAAUACAUGCAAGUCGAACGAACGGACGAGGAGCUUGUUUCUCGGACGUUAGCGGCGGACGGGUGUGUAACACGUGUAUAACCUACCUAUAAGUCUGGGAUAACUUCGGGAAACCGGAGCUUAUCCCGGAGAAGAUUUUGAACCGCAGGGUUCAAAAGUGAAAGACGGCGUUGCUGUCACGUAUAGCUGGUUCCCGGCUGCAUGAGCUAGUUGGUAAGGUAACGGCCUACGAAGGCAAGUAUGCAUGGCCGACCUGAGAGGGUGAUAGCCCACACUGGAACUGGGCCACGGUCCAGACUACUACGGGAGGCAGCAGUAGGCAAUCUUCCGCAGUGGGCGGAAGCCUGGCGGAGCGGCGCCGCGUGAGUGAUGAAGGUCUUCCGAUCGUAAAACUCUGUUAUUGGGGAAGAACAUAUGUGUAAGUAACUGUGCACAUCUUGACGGUACCUAAUCAGAAAGCCACGGCUAACUACGUG